rnacentral:rRNA from 1 species
UACGGGGGGGGCAAGCGUUGUUCGGAAUUACUGGGCGUAAAGGGCUCGUCGGCGGCCAACUAAGUCGGACGUGAAAUCCCCAGGCUCAACCUGGGAACUGCGUCCGAUACUGGAUGGCUUGAAUCCGGGAGAGGGAUGCAGAAUUCCAGGUGUAGCGGUGAAAUGCGUAGAUAUCUGGAGGAAUACCGGUGGCGAAGGCGGCAUCCUGGACCGGCAUUGACGCUGAGGAGCGAAAGCCAGGGGAGCAAACGGG